rnacentral:rRNA from 1 species
GACGAACGCUGGCGGCGUGCUUAACACAUGCAAGUCGAACGGAAAGGCCCUGCUUUUGUGGGGUGCUCGAGUGGCGAACGGGUGAGUAACACGUGAGUAACCUGCCCUUGACUUUGGGAUAACUUCAGGAAACUGGGGCUAAUACCGGAUAGGAGCUCCUGCUGCAUGGUGGGGGUUGGAAAGUUUCGGCGGUUGGGGAUGGACUCGCGGCUUAUCAGCUUGUUGGUGGGGUAGUGGCUUACCAAGGCUUUGACGGGUAGCCGGCCUGAGAGGGUGACCGGCGACAUUGGGACUGAGAUACGGCCCAGACUCCUACGGGAGGCAGCAGGGGGGAAUAUUGCACAACGGGCGGAAGCCUGAUGCAGCAACGCCGCGUGCGGGAUGACGGCCUUCGGGUGGUAAACCGCUUUCGCCUGUGGCGAAGCGUGAGUGACGGUAAUGGGUAAAGAAGCACCGGCUAACUACGUG